GUUUCUUCAAAGAUUAACUGGCCUUCUUUAAAAGUACAUCAGUUUCCUCUUAGGCAGAUAUUUGCAUAGCAGUGAACUGGGUGUUUAUUGCUGCAAAUCAUUUGCUGGACCCCGAGUUGGCUGUUAAUUCCUUGUUCUGUUAUGACAACAUCUAAAAAGAAGUCUGCAUAUAUUGAUCUUUGCAGAGCAUAGCUGUACCUUACGAGAAAACACCAAACUGUCUGCUUUUCCUGACCUAACUGUUGCUGUUUAAAACCAUGUUCUUCAUUUGACUGCUUUUGAACCUGUCCAGACAAGAAUAUUUAAGUGAGAUAAGUAAGUGGAAGAAACCAGCUUUCCUAAACACAAAGGCUGAGAAGAUAAACUGGGGAGGAGAGAAAAC
rnacentral:lncRNA from 1 species